UAGGAAGAGAGUUCCAGAAUGAAAGGACAAAGUGGACGCUCAAUUUUAUUCUUCUUCCUUUAUUUGCAAAAAUAAAUGUUAAUGGGAUUUUCCCCCCCGCAAGCGCCUAGUUUUUUGCCCCGCAUGUAGCGGCUAUGGAAUGGGAACCGGAAGUUUCUGUUGCCAGUAGCGCUCCUCUCUAGAUCCAUGCUUUUUCUCCCUCCGAAGGAGUCGGAAAGGGAUACAAUUUAACCCUUUCGCGUUUCUUCCUCUCUUCCCCCACCCCCCCAAUUUAUUAUUAUUAUAGUUGCCGGCCGGCAAGGCGAGGAUUAUUAUUUUUUGUCUCCUCCCUAAAAGAGCAGAUUUCCUGGAGGCGAAGAAAAGCCGGCAGGGAAAGAAUCAAGUCCUUCUCUCCAUUGGCUCUGGCUUUCUGGGAGGCGAUGCCGGUCGUUAUUGGCUUUGAAGGAAGUGCCAACAAAAUUGGCAUCGGGAUCGUAAGGGAUGGCAAGGUGCUGAGCAACCCCCGGCGAACGUACGUCACCCCUCCGGGACAAGAGCUUCUGUUCAUGUGUCCAUCUCCGCCACUUCAUUAACGAGCUU